rnacentral:rRNA from 1 species
CAGUACGGUGAAACCGCGAAAGGCUCAUUAAAUCAGUUAUGGUUCCUUAGAUAGUACCCACGUUACUUGGAUAACUGUGGUAAUUCUAGAGCUAAUACAUGCCGACAGAGUUCCGACCAGCGCUGGCAGUGGUUCGCCGCUGUCGGUGUUCGGAAGGAACGCUUUUAUUAGAUCAAAACCGGCCGGGCGACCGCGUCGUUCGCGACCGGUCGCCAGUGGCCCGCGCAAUGACUUGGUGACUCUGAAUAACUUUGAGCUGAUCGCACGGCCUUGUGCCGGCGACGUAUCUUUCAAAUGUCUGCCUUAUCAACUGUCGAUGGUAAGUUCGACGCUUACCAUGGUGUUAACGGGUAACGGGGAAUCAGGGUUCGAUUCCGGAGAGGGAGCCUGAGAAACGGCUACCACAUCCAAGGAAGGCAGCAGGCGCGUAAAUUACCCACUCUUCUUUCGAGGAGGUAGUGACGA